CAAUGGCAAACUGUGAGACUAACCAAGGAUUAGCUUUAGGAAAUGAAUGCUUUAUAAUAGAAAAUUAAUUAGAACAACUCAUUAACAUUUUUAUAUGGCCUUGAUUGCCCAUCACUCACAGAAUCCAAUUCUGAAGACAGCUAAUGUACAUCUCACCAGCACCACAUGAUGGCAAGUCAUUGAUGACUUGCAGAGACAAAACCAAAGCAUUUUCCCAUAAAACAUGGCAGAAUCUAUUUAGCCAGAAAAAAAUAAGUGUCAUGCUAUCACAAAUGCUGCCAAGCAAUUAAUUCCCUAUUAUAUUUCAGCUUUUCUAAACUGUAGACAAAGUGUCUCAGUUCAUUUGAACGGUCUACUUGAUGCUACCGGCAAACCAGUUCACAGAGGAAAUAGGAGUAUAGCUAAAUACGUCUGCAAGCAACACUACAAGCUCAUGGUGGACAUUCAGAAAACAAGGAAAAUAAGAAGCAGAUGCAAGAUGUUCAAGAUGUGCAGGAUGCUCAGGUCUGCUCACUGAAGACAGAAUCAUCAUACUUUUUUUCCAAAGGUUUAUAUUCUGACUGUCCCUGGGCAAAUUUUCACAAGGAUGACACAGAUGCAUCUCUGGUCUAAGUCUAAGGUCUAAAUUGUGAGAGUGUUAAGUUGUUUUGAAAGUUUUCCCUCAAAUUUUAAGGACUGAAAAUAGCCUCAUACUAUUUAACAGUUGAAACAUCCUGGGCUAGAAUUGUGAAAACAGUUGUCCUAACAAAGACAACUGACAAACAUAAUUUUAACCAAGGUUGCAAUUAAGGCUUUCCUCAGUUAUAAGCGAUUUAAAAUCAUAUUUUAUUGUGGAAUUGCUGGACAACUGCAACACCACCAAAUGCUGCUGUUACAACAAAACCUCCAAGAAUGGCAACCAAAUUUUGGAACAGGAGGUAUCUGACAUGCUACAUAAUGUGGUCUAAUAUCAUAAUCACUAAUCAAAACAAAGCAACUCCAAGAAACAGUUCUGUUGUUGACAUGAGAGAGAGUACACAAGGAAGAGAGAGUUCCUGUAAAGUGUUUGUUAAUGUAAUCAGUCAAUAAGACAUUUUACCCUUUCUUUUUUAAACUAGAGGUUUCAGAGACUCUGUUAACAUCCAUCCUGUAACCAAUUAAUUGAAUUCCAGGACCUGACAUCCUUGUAGAUACCAAGUAACCUAUUUCAGCUCUUAUGGUAUAGGGCAGACUUCAGUUUGGGUCAUUGUAAGUAUCUGCCUCCUUAUCUCAUUUCUUCCUCUGCUAGUACCUCUGCUAGUAUGAUGAGUCAUUAGCUGGCUAAGUUACUACUCAUGAGAUCGUUUGCUAGCAUUCUAAUUAACAGGUAUAUUUGUUAAUUCUUAUCAGUAAUUGCUUAUUAGCAGGCACGGAUUUUUGUGUAACAAUUGAUUGCGAUCUAAGGAACAAAAGUCAGUCACGUAUCACAAGUGUGCUAGACAAUAAAAACAGCCUUAGAGAAGUCAAAAAGCAAAGAGCACAAAAAAUAUGGCCUGCUUUUUUUUACUUUCUCUGAAGGCCUCUCAACAGACUUAACAAGAUUAUUUAUUUGUCAUCUACCCUAGCUUUUCUCUGAAAAACAUUCUUUUGGAAGUAUCACAGUGUGCAUCUCUAAUAAAGUGGUUGCAGAUUGCCUCCUCGUCAACCAUCUAUAACCUACCCACCGUGACACACCCUCCCAUCCUUCCCCAUCUGCUGCUCAGUCUUGUCACAUAGAUCAAAUGACUACUGACAUCCUGAUGUUUAUCCACUCUCUUUCAAGAACAAAUAAGGAUACUUCCAACUGCUUAAAAACAAACACUGUUGUCACUCUUCUAACAACUUUGAAUGCCAGCACUGUGUUCUGUGAAAGAAUCCCAGCUGGGAAAAAAGGUACAGCUUCUUAACCUCUGUGUGGGUCCUCGCAUUACCACGUCACAGUAUACACUGCCCACACAACAGUAGAACUAAUCAAGACAGUAGCUAAAAAGGUAGGCAAAAAUGAUCACCUCUGUUUAUCUACAGCCCAGAGGCAUACUAAGUGCCAAAGAGCCAGAGGCCACGCUGGAAAUCUGUUUUGGAGGUUUGAUACAUGAGGAAAAUAGGUUCUGCUAAUGAAUGAUGGAGUUGUUUCUAUCCCACCUACAGAACAGCCUCUUGACUCAGCUCAAGAACUGGUUUGAGUGAGAAAAUAAUCAUCUCUAAUAAUUCUACCUACUUCUGUACAAACUCUUUCUCUCAUUUGCACCAAAAUAUUUUGGGCAAGUUGCCCAAACAUUCACUUGGAAGAGGGAUUUAUUAUUUUAUGCUUUAUCAGAAGCUGACAUAGCAGUAUUUAUUAUAACUUAAAGUAUCAAAAUAGUUCAUAUAAACAGAUAGUGGGUGAGAACCUCUCUGUUUUAAAUGCCAGUAGUAAAAGGUCAUAGAGAACAGGUGUCAGCUGAGAGUAUUAAUAUUUGAUUCUCUCCUCAGCUUUACUAUAGGUGCUCUUUGUUAUACUCACAACUUUCUUAUCAUUGCUAUGCCUUAGUUUCUAUACUUGAAGAACUUCUAUAAUAAUUCUUGUCCAUCUCUGAGUCUGAGAUCUACUAGCAUUGUUUAUUAGCAUAGCCAUUUUAGAUCUAGACUGAAUACACUAUCCUUCUCUCUACUUUCCAUCCCUAUAUAUUUUCCACUCUUUUUUCUCCAAUGACCAUACUAAUACUUUGAAAACGGAGCUCAAGGAAACUGUAUCAAAUCAGUAAAACUGUUCUU